rnacentral:rRNA from 1 species
CCUACGGAAGGCUGCAGUGGGGAAUAUUGGACAAUGGGGGGAACCCUGAUCCAGCCAUGCCGCGUGUGUGAAGAAGGCCCUCGGGUUGUAAAGCACUUUCAGUGAGGAAGAACGCCUGGUGGUUAAUACCCAUCAGGAAAGACAUCACUCACAGAAGAAGCACCGGCUAACUCCGUGCCAGCAGCCGCGGUAAUACGGAGGGUGCGAGCGUUAAUCGGAAUUACUGGGCGUAAAGCGCGCGUAGGUGGCUUGAUAAGCCGGUUGUGAAAGCCCCGGGCUCAACCUGGGAACGGCAUCCGGAACUGUCAAGCUAGAGUGCAGGAGAGGAAAGUAGAAUUCCCGGUGUAGCGGUGAAAUGCGUAGAGAUCGGGAGGAAUACCAGUGGCGAAGGCGGCCUUCUGGACUGACACUGACACUGAGGUGCGAAAGCGUGGGUAGCAAACAGGAUUAGAUACCCUUGUAGUC